ACUCAAAUGAAUUGACGGGGGCCCGCACAAGCGGUGGAGCAUGUGGUUUAAUUCGAUGCAACGCGAAGAACCUUACCUGGUCUUGACAUCCACGGAAGAAUUCAGAGAUGGAUUUGUGCCUUCGGGAACCGUGAGACAGGUGCUGCAUGGCUGUCGUCAGCUCGUGUUGUGAAAUGUUGGGUUAAGUCCCGCAACGAGCGCAACCCUUAUCCUUUGUUGCCAGCGGUCCGGCCGGGAACUCAAAGGAGACUGCCAGUGAUAAACUGGAGGAAGGUGGGGAUGACGUCAAGUCAUCAUGGCCCUUACGACCAGGGCUACACACGUGCUACAAUGGCGCAUACAAAGAGAAGCGACCUCGCGAGAGCAAGCGGACCUCA
rnacentral:rRNA from 1 species